rnacentral:rRNA from 1 species
GACGAACGCUGGCGGCGUGCUUAACACAUGCAAGUCGAACGGAAAGGCCCUGCUUUUGUGGGGUGCUCGAGUGGCGAACGGGUGAGUAACACGUGAGUAACCUGCCCUUGACUUUGGGAUAACUUCAGGAAACUGGGGCUAAUACCGGAUAGGAGCUCCUGCUGCAUGGUGGGGGUUGGAAAGAUUCGGCGGUUGGGGAUGGACUCGCGGCUUAUCAGCUUGUUGGUGGGGUAGUGGCUGACCAAGGCUUUGACGGGUAGCCGGCCUGAGAGGGUGACCGGCCACAUUGGGACUGAGAUACGGCCCAGACUCCUACGGGACGCAGCAGUGGGGAAUAUUGCGCAAUAGGCGGAAGCCUGAUGCAGCAACGCCGCGUGCGGGAUGGCGGCCUUCGGGUUGUAAACCGCUUUCGCCUGUGACGAAGCGUGAGUGACGGUAAUGGGUAAAGAAGCACCGGCUAACUACGUG